UGAACUUGUGGUUCUGCUUCAUGGUGCUGG
rnacentral:piRNA from 1 species